rnacentral:lncRNA from 1 species
CAAUAUAUAUCAUAAUUUGGCACAGAUGACACAAUUCAUAGCACUGUUCCAUAGCAAAUCUGACACAGUUCAUAGCACUGUUCCAUAACACAUUCAUAUCAAAUACCACACAGAGUAUACCAAAUGCCCAUAGCGAGCUAGUCCAUAGCAAAUAUAAGAGUACAAAGUUUUCCAUAGCAAGAGUACAAAGUUUUCCAUAGCAAAUGAACAAAGCAGGCAUCAGUACAUAAAAUUUGGCACUACAACAAAUGUCUUCAUGUCCAUAUCAUAGUCCAAAGAGCAUCUGUGUGGCAACCUACAAGAUGAAAUCAUCAACAUGUCAAAUUUUGGUAUAAUAAAAAACGGGCUUUAAAUCAUCAAGAUGCCGAAUAGACAAAAGAAAGUACUUGAAGACCUGUCCAAUUUUGAACAUGUCAAUUUAACAUUCUAGAUCAUGAAGAUCUUCACGAAUGGUCUCUAAAUCAUGAAAACAAAUAGCUACUUGUUUCUACUUAUAAGAUUGAUUCAUUUUAACACUGUAAAUCAUGAAUAUCUUUGAGUGCUCUCUAAAUCAUGAAUACAAAUAGCUUCAACUGGUCUCUAAAUCAUGAAAAUAAAUAGCUUCAAGAAUGCAUAUAGCUAUUAAGAUCAUGGUUGAAAUGGUUCAAAUCUAUCAUGGUUUCAAAUGGUCUCUACUUGUCUCUAUUAUAAGUUUGAUCUUCAAAUGGUUCAAACGGUCUCUACUUACAAGUUUCUAAAUCAUGGAGAUCAUCAAAUGGUCUCUAAAUCAUAAAAAUAAAUAGCUAUGUGUCUCUAAUUAUAAGACUGAUUCAACUUAACACUCUAAAUCAUGAAUAAAAAUAGCUUCAAGUGGUCUCUAAAUCAUGAAAAUAAAUGGUCUCUACUUGUUUCUACUUAAAAAUUUGAUCUUCAAAUGGUUCGAAUGGUCUCUACUUGCAAGAUUCUAAAUCAUGGAGAUCUUCAAAUGGUGUCUAAAUCUUGAAAAUAAAUAGAUACUUGUCUCUAAAUCAUGAAUAUCUUCAAAUGGUCUCUAAAUCAUGAAUAUCUUCAAAUGGUCUCUAAAUCAUGAAUAUCUUCAAAUGGUCUCUAAAUCAUGAAAAUCAUGGAGAUAUGUAGGCACUAACCAUACUUGAUCUCAAAGAUUCGGAGAACCGCCAUGGUCAUUGGCGUUUGGGCCUGGUGCAUGUGAAGAUCUAUCAUUAUUUGACCCAUGGCCUGAUUGAUGCUGCAAAGCAUUACAUGGUUAGCACAAAACUCGGACUAAGAAAUGCAAUAAUGGUGCAUGCAAGUAUUUCAGAUAACUAAC